rnacentral:rRNA from 1 species
GGGUUGUGAGGUUAAGCGACUAAGCGUACACGGUGGAUGCCCUGGCAGUCAGAGGCGAUGAAGGACGUGCUAAUCUGCGAAAAGCGUCGGUAAGGUGAUAUGAACCGUUACAGCCGGCGAUGUCCGAAUGGGGAAACCCAGUGCAAUUCGUUGCACUAUCGUUAACUGAAUACAUAGGUUAACGAGGCGAACCGGGGGAACUGAAACAUCUAAGUACCCCGAGGAAAAGAAAUCAACCGAGAUUCCCCCAGUAGCGGCGAGCGAACGGGGAGCAGCCCAGAGUCUGAAUCAGCUUGUGUGUUAGUGGAACGGUCUGGAAAGUCCGACGGUACAGGGUGAUAGUCCCGUACACCAAAAUGCACAGGCUGUGAACUCGAAGAGUAGGGCGGGACACGUGGUAUCCUGUCUGAAUAUGGGGGACCAUCCUCCAAGGCUAAAUACUCCUGACUGACCGAUAGUGAACCAGUACCGUGAGGGAAAGGCGAAAAGAACCCCGGCGAGGGGAGUGAAAAAGAACCUGAAACCGUGUACGUACAAGCAGUGGGAGCACCUUCGGGUGUGACUGCGUACCUUUUGUAUAAUGGGUCAGCGACUUAUAUUCUGUAGCAAGGUUAACCGGAUAGGGGAGCCGCAGGGAAACCGAGUCUUAACUGGGCGUUAAGUUGCAGGGUAUAGACCCGAAACCCGGUGAUCUAGCCAUGGGCAGGUUGAAGGUUGGGUAACACUAACUGGAGGACCGAACCGACUAAUGUUGAAAAAUUAGCGGAUGACUUGUGGCUGGGGGUGAAAGGCCAAUCAAACCGGGAGAUAGCUGGUUCUCCCCGAAAGCUAUUUAGGUAGCGCCUCGUGAACUCAUCUUCGGGGGUAGAGCACUGUUUCGGCUAGGGGGUCAUCCCGACUUACCAACCCGAUGCAAACUACGAAUACCGAAGAAUGUUAUCACGGGAGACACACGGCGGGUGCUAACGUCCGUCGUGAAGAGGGAAACAACCCAGACCGCCAGCUAAGGUCCCAAAGUCAUGGUUAAGUGGGAAACGAUGUGGGAAGGCACAGACAGCCAGGAUGUUGGCUUAGAAGCAGCCAUCAUUUAAAGAAAGCGUAAUAGCUCACUGGUCGAGUCGGCCUGCGCGGAAGAUGUAACGGGGCUAAACCAUGCACCGAAGCUGCGGCAGCGACACUAUGUGUUGUUGGGUAGGGGAGCGUUCUGUAAGCCUGCGAAGGUGGCCUGUGAGGGUUGCUGGAGGUAUCAGAAGUGCGAAUGCUGACAUAAGUAACGAUAAAGCGGGUGAAAAGCCCGCUCGCCGGAAGACCAAGGGUUCCUGUCCAACGUUAAUCGGGGCAGGGUGAGUCGACCCCUAAGGCGAGGCCGAAAGGCGUAGUCGAUGGGAAACAGGUUAAUAUUCCUGUACUUGGUGUUACUGCGAAGGGGGGACGGAGAAGGCUAUGUUAGCCGGGCGACGGUUGUCCCGGUUUAAGCAUGUAGGCUGGUUGUCCAGGCAAAUCCGGAUAAUCAAGGCUGAGGUGUGAUGACGAGGCACUACGGUGCUGAAGUAACAAAUGCCCUGCUUCCAGGAAAAGCCUCUAAGCAUCAGGUAACAUCAAAUCGUACCCCAAACCGACACAGGUGGUCAGGUAGAGAAUACCAAGGCGCUUGAGAGAACUCGGGUGAAGGAACUAGGCAAAAUGGUGCCGUAACUUCGGGAGAAGGCACGCUGGUGUGUAGGUGAAGUCCCUGCGGAUGGAGCUGAGACCAGUCGAAGAUACCAGCUGGCUGCAACUGUUUAUUAAAAACACAGCACUGUGCAAACACGAAAGUGGACGUAUACGGUGUGACGCCUGCCCGGUGCCGGAAGGUUAAUUGAUGGGGUUAUCCGUAAGGAGAAGCUCUUGAUCGAAGCCCCGGUAAACGGCGGCCGUAACUAUAACGGUCCUAAGGUAGCGAAAUUCCUUGUCGGGUAAGUUCCGACCUGCACGAAUGGCGUAAUGAUGGCCAGGCUGUCUCCACCCGAGACUCAGUGAAAUUGAACUCGCUGUGAAGAUGCAGUGUACCCGCGGCAAGACGGAAAGACCCCGUGAACCUUUACUAUAGCUUGACACUGAACAUUGAGCCUUGAUGUGUAGGAUAGGUGGGAGGCUUUGAAGCGUGGACGCCAGUCUGCGUGGAGCCAACCUUGAAAUACCACCCUUUAAUGUUUGAUGUUCUAACGUUGGCCCCUGACCGGGGUUGCGGACAGUGUCUGGUGGGUAGUUUGACUGGGGCGGUCUCCUCCCAAAGCGUAACGGAGGAGCACGAAGGUUAGCUAAUCCUGGUCGGACAUCAGGAGGUUAGUGCAAUGGCAUAAGCUAGCUUGACUGCGAGCGUGACGGCGCGAGCAGGUGCGAAAGCAGGUCAUAGUGAUCCGGUGGUUCUGAAUGGAAGGGCCAUCGCUCAACGGAUAAAAGGUACUCCGGGGAUAACAGGCUGAUACCGCCCAAGAGUUCAUAUCGACGGCGGUGUUUGGCACCUCGAUGUCGGCUCAUCACAUCCUGGGGCUGAAGUAGGUCCCAAGGGUAUGGCUGUUCGCCAUUUAAAGUGGUACGCGAGCUGGGUUUAGAACGUCGUGAGACAGUUCGGUCCCUAUCUGCCGUGGGCGCUGGAGAAUUGAGGGGGGCUGCUCCUAGUACGAGAGGACCGGAGUGGACGCAUCACUGGUGUUCGGGUUGUCAUGCCAAUGGCACUGCCCGGUAGCUAAAUGCGGAAGAGAUAAGUGCUGAAAGCAUCUAAGCACGAAACUUGCCCCGAGAUGAGUUCUCCCUGAGACUUUAAGUCUCCUGAAGGAACGUUGAAGACGACGACGUUGAUAGGCCGGGUGUGUAAGCGCAGCGAUGCGUUGAGCUAACCGGUACUAAUGAACCGUGAGGCUUAACCUUACAACGCCGAAG